UCUGGCUGCCCCUCUUGCUAAGGGACUGUACUUAAGGACCAUGACUCUGAGACUCAGAGAACCAAGGUCCCAGUCCCCACAAUUUAACAUAUAGUGCAGACAGUGACAAGGACCUCUGUCUUCAGGACCCAGUGCUUGGAGUAGAACUGAGGCACUUGCCUGUACCAGGCAGGCAUUCUACCAUGAACUGAAUUCCCAGGAAUAUUUCACCACUGAGCUACAUCCCAAACAGUGUUGACAUUUUUGGACUACCCAGGAGGUGGAUGUUGGAGAAUUUUUAUUCUAGACUACCAUUUGGUGCUGGCUUCUGUUGUUUUGCCUAUCACUUCCUCUACUAAGAGACCUUACUCUUCAUGCUGCUACCAGGAACUCUGCUCUCUGAAGUUGGCAACUUUCAGUUUCUCCAACUACUGAAGGAGGCUGUUGGCCUUGGGUUUCCUUCUAACAAUGGCCGCUGUUUGAAGACACUGCUCAGGGGCUCGAUUCUCCUUUGAAGUGGGAUCUGCUCAAGGUCGUGCAGUCUGGACACAGUUGAGUAGGUAUCAGUGAAGCACCUGCCAUACCGCAUAGGUGCUGUGGUCUCAGCAAAGGUGCCGGGGUCUCUGCAAAGACAAGUCAAAGAAGAGAACACCUAUGACGAGUAUGAGAACGACCUGGGCAUCACAGCCAUCGCACUUUAGGACUACCAGGCUGCGCGUGGUGACGAAAUCUCCUUUGACCCUGAUGACAUCAUCAGCAACAUAGAAAUGAUGCAUGAGGAAGGCUGGCAGCGCAGCGUGUGCAGGCGCCUGUACGGGCUCUUCCCGGCCAACUAUGUGGAGAUGUGGCAGUAGGCGGCCCGCCUGCCCUGCGGGCCUGUACAGAAUCACACUUCAGAUCAUGCCUUUGCUGGUUUGGGGCUUUGGGUUUGUAUUUUUUGUUCUGUUUUCUGAGGGUGAGGAGGGAAAUAUACAUAUUGAUUUUAUAUUUAAUACUUCUACUGAUGCUUUUGAAAAUGUUGAUGCCACAGAAUGUGCUAAUAAAUUGUAAUCAUGUUCCCUAGGA